GCUGCAAUGUGUGCACAGUUCAUCCUCUAUCUGUGUCUGGUAGCAGUGUCUGUCUGUGUUUUACAUUCAGACUUGCUAUUCACACAAACGUCAUGCAGCCAGAUAGUAACUAGGGAACAUAGUACUGGUCUAGUGUUGUCUUUAGGACAAAUCCACCGCUGACCAGCCUCCUAAUUCCCGCACACAG
rfam:Tupaia chinensis contig175590, whole genome shotgun sequence.